CUUCAGAUUAUUGAGGGGUAGGGUGUUGCUGGCAGGAUCAUCAUUCCCUGCCCAUUCAUAACUGUUCUUGGAGAAGGUGGUCACCUUGGACCCGGUGGAUGAUGGUGCCACGGAGACGGUAGACAGCGGGCAUGUGCUGCAGUGCCGAGGGUUCGAGCACACUCUUUCGAUAACCAUGUAAUCUGAAGUGGACUCCGCUUCCUGGUGUUUCUGCUUGUGAAACCUAAAGCCUUCUGCAAUCAACAAUGCUUUUGAUUCUAAAUGUCCUGCAUUACGUACACAUUAUCAGCAAAACUCAUUUCAUUUGGUUUGGUUGGAGCAGCUAAACUUCUAAGGAAACUGUAUGCUUUACCACCCAUUGCACUGAGCAAUACUGAUGCUCAU